UCCAUUACCAGGGAGACCAGAACUGGGGAGAGGAAGCAGUCAGCCCUCUAAACAGGAAAUUAGAGAGGACACUUGGUCACUGAGGAGAUUAAAGGAAGCAGUGGGUGACAGUUGGGGGUCUUUUGCCUUUGGGAUCUGUAGAGAGCAGGAGGUCUGUCUGAGGCAAGGAUCUACUGGCAGUUUACUGACAGUUGGGAUGCUAUAGAAAACUGACUGAAGGAGAAAACCUCUUCUGUAAUAAUGGACAGUCAAGUCUAAUCCCAAUAAAUUUGUGACAUUUCUUCAAAGUCUAAAAGCCUGUGAAAGAAAAUCAGAUACUGCUAUAAGUUAUCUCUACCUACUCAAAGUAUACCAGAAUUUAUCUCUGUUCCUCAAUGCCAAGUGGGAAAAGCAUGGGGUAAAAGUCCUAUAGUCUUCCUUAAGGAUAGGAGUGAAGAAAGAAAUCAAUCACUACCUACAUUGACAAGAGGGUCCAGGAGACAGAAACCCGUAAUGUCAAAGGCUACUCAGAUCAAAGAGAAUAAAAGGAGGAGUCAUCAGCUACAGAACUGUCCAUUAUGUAGAAGGGAUCAAGACACACUAAGCUUCAAGCAAAACUCAAAUUGAAAUCAGUUGAGGAUAUUGCAGUGAAAGAAGGAAUGGGAAAGAUGAGAAGACCACUUCCUCAAGCACUUUACAUAGAAAAGGAAGCUUGGCAAUCAGGCUAAAUUCUGAGGUCAAGAGGAUAACUGAAAUGAAUAUUUUAGAAUGUUUAAAAAUGUUACUAAAUAUUUAUUAAUAGUUUUUAAGUCUUCUUAUUUUAUUUGCUAGUACUGCAAAACAUAGUAAACUUCCUCUGUGUGUUCAUUUCCUAAUAUGCUUUAAUAGAUAAUUAUUUCAAACGAA